rnacentral:rRNA from 1 species
GCCUAACACAUGCAAGUCGAACGGUAACAGGAAACAGCUUGCUGUUUCGCUGACGAGUGGCGGACGGGUGAGUAAUGUCUGGGAAACUGCCUGAUGGAGGGGGAUAACUACUGGAAACGGUAGCUAAUACCGCAUAACGUCGCAAGACCAAAGAGGGGGACCUUCGGGCCUCUUGCCAUCAGAUGUGCCCAGAUGGGAUUAGCUAGUAGGUGGGGUAACGGCUCACCUAGGCGACGAUCCCUAGCUGGUCUGAGAGGAUGACCAGCCACACUGGAACUGAGACACGGUCCAGACUCCUACGGGAGGCAGCAGUGGGGAAUAUUGCACAAUGGGCGCAAGCCUGAUGCAGCCAUGCCGCGUGUAUGAAGAAGGCCUUCGGGUUGUAAAGUACUUUCAGCGGGGAGGAAGGGAGUAAAGUUAAUACCUUUGCUCAUUGACGUUACCCGCAGAAGAAGCACCGGCUAACUCCGUGCCAGCAGCCGCGGUAAUACGGAGGGUGCAAGCGUUAAUCGGAAUUACUGGGCGUAAAGCGCACGCAGGCGGUUUGUUAAGUCAGAUGUGAAAUCCCCGGGCUCAACCUGGGAACUGCAUCUGAUACUGGCAAGCUUGAGUCUCGUACAGGG